AUGCUUCCCCAGGAGCCGCCAUACACUCCCUCUCUGUCUCUCUCUCUCUCUCUCUGUCUCUCUCUCUCUCUCUCUGUCUCCCUGUCUCUCUCUGUCUCUGUGUCUAUCUCUCUCUCUCCCUCUCUCUCUGUCUCUCUCCCCCCCUCCUCACCCCUCUCUUCCCCCUUUAACACCCUCCUCAAGAGUCACUGCUGGCCCUCAGAGCUCCACCAUCCAUCGGACCAGAACAAGACCGCGACGCUCCCUGGUAGCCUCGCUCGCCCUCUCGCUCGCCCUCUCCCUGGCCCUCUCGCUCGCCCGCCCUCUGGCUUGCCCUCUCGUUCGCUCGCCCUCUGCUUUCCCCGUUCCCCAGCCUCGAGGGGGUGCCUUGUUCCUCCUCCACUCCCCCUGACAAUCUACUUCUGGGGCGAGGCAGCCGUGGCAGCCCCAAGCAGACGGACCCUGGGGCUGAGGUAUCAUCAGAAGUGCUGACCCUCCGCGGGGCCGGACGGCCGGGUCUACGAUUGCUUCUUGCCCAUCUUCCCGACAGACCGGGAGGAAGCCCGGUGGGUGGAGAGGAGCCAAAGGCAACGUGUGCAGGCGCCCCGGGGCCGAGCUCUGGGCCUGCAGGCGGAAAGGGACGCUGCCAGGAAAGGCCAAUGGGCGGCGCCAAUGGAAGCGGUCAAUGGCGGCUCGGCGGUCAGGCGCUAUACGUUACCCCACGGCUACAGACUGUACCUCCAGCAUCACCACACAGAUCUGUUUGACGCACUGGAUGAUGGCGUCGGGGGUCCCCGAGAUGGUCACGGCCCGCUCGGUCGAGUUGGGCAGCAUGUCGCCCGCCACUUGCACCUGAGCACCUGUAGACUGGGGACACCAGGAAGUGGGGGGAGGGGAGAGAAGAGAGAUGAUUGGCUCAGCGGCUCGGGGCGGAGCCCGUCUCUCGCCAACUGCAGCUCCGCUUUGAGGCGGGGCUUGGCUGCCUCCGCAAGGCCUGCACACGUGCCCGCUUCCUUUCCUUCAGAUGCCCACCUCUGGGGCAUGCCAAGGGGCCCCCUGCCUAGCCGGCCACCUAGAACGUGGUGGGUGGGCACAGGCGUCUGGCCGGAGAACCCGGAGAAAGUGACGUGAGGGGGGAGGCUUCCCAGAGGGCCGGCUGCCCCCCCAGUCUGGGCCGUUUCGGGCUCUUCCGAACCCACCCUAAGGAGGAGUUCUGGGAUAGAAGGUGGGAGGAUGGCGGCCAUGCAUGGAGUCUAGUCUGAGCGAGAGCUGGGAGAGGUCUUGGGAGGUCUUCUCCCCCCAUCAGCCCAUUGGACAGAAGGUUGAGAAAUUCAGUGACUCUCCCAGGGUCACACAGGCCGAGCGGACACUCGAAUCCUGGUCCUCUCCUCAGAGACCCAGCUCCCCCUUUCCUCGCCCCCCCCCAGGCCAGGGGCAUGGCCUGUCCAUCUACGAGGCCACGAAUGACCCAGAAGGCCUUGGGGAAAGCCCG
rnacentral:lncRNA from 1 species